CAAAAUGGUGAAACAGAUCGACAGCAAGGAAGUGUUUCAGGAAGCCUUGGAGGCUGCAGGAGAUAAACUUGUGGUAGUUGACUUCUCGGCCAACUGGUGCGGCCCUUGCAAAAUGAUCAAGCCUUUCCUUCAUUCUCUCUCUGAAAAAUAUUCCAAUGCAUUGUUCCUGGAAGUAGAUGUGGAUGCCUGUCAGGAUGUUGCUGUGGAGUGUGAAGUCAAAUGCAUGCCCACCUUCCAGUUUUUUAAAAAAGGCCAAAAGGUGGGUGAAUUUUCUGGGACUAACAAAGAAAAGCUUAAAGCCACCAUUAAUGAAUUUCUCUAAUMGUGUUUUCUGAAAAACAUAACCACCCAUCAGCUG